UAAUAGCUCACUAGUCGAGAGGUCCUGCGCCGAAAAUGUCCGGGGCUGAAACACGACACCGAAGCUUAGGAAUCACAUAGUGAUUGGUAGAGGAGCAUUCUUAAAACCGACGAAGCUGUACCGGAAGGAGCAGUGGAGGGAUAAGAAGAGAGAAUGCCGGAAUGAGUAGCGAGAGGAAGGUGGGAAUCCUUCCGGCCGAAUAUCUAAGGUUUCCAGAGUAAAGCUGAUCUGCUCUGGGUAAGUCGGGGCCUAAGGCGAGGUCGAAAGACGUAGUCGAUGGAUAACAGGUUGAAAUUCCUGUACUAUCCUGUAACAGAACUGUGGGGACACAGGCAGAGAGCGUGAGCCGGGAAUGGAAAGACCGGUACAAGCGAGGUAGGAGAAGAGUUGGCAAAUCCGCUCUUCAAUCUGAAGACGUGAUGUGGACCGAAAAGAAGUAGGGAAGCACGUGAGCUGACUGUCAAGAAAAGCCGCUAUUGUUUGCAGGAUACCCGUACCGUAAACCGACACAGGUGGAUGAGGAGAGAAUCCUAAGGCCGACGGGAGAAGCAUUGUUAAGGAACUCGGCAAAAUGACUCCGUAACUUCGGGAGAAGGAGUGCCAGUAAGAUGGCCGCAGAGAAUUGGCCCAAGCAACUGUUUAGCAAAAACACAGGUCUAUGCAAAACCGAAAGGUGAGGUAUAUGGGCUGACGCCUGCCCGGUGCUGGAAGGUUAAGGGGAGAGGUUAGCGCAAGCGAAGCUUUGAACUUAAGCCCCAGUAAACGGCGGCCGUAACUAUAACGGUCCUAAGGUAGCGAAAUUCCUUGUCGGGUAAGUUCCGACCCGCACGAAAGGCGUAAUGAUUUGAGCGCUGUCUCGACAAUGCACCCGGUGAAAUUGAAAUACCAGUGAAGAUGCUGGUUACCUGCGCCAGGACGGAAAGACCCCAUGGAGCUUUACUCCAGCUUGAUACUGGGAUUCGGUAUUGCAUGUACAGGAUAGGUGGGAGGCUAGGAAAUGGUAACGCCAGUUGCCAUGGAGCCAAUGUUGGGAUACCACCCUUGCAGUACUGGGUUUCUAACCAGCAGCCGUGAUCCGGCUGGGGGACAAUGUCAGGUGGGGAGUUUGACUGGGGCGGUCGCCUCCGAAAGGGUAUCGGAGGCGCUCAAAGGU
rnacentral:rRNA from 1 species